rnacentral:rRNA from 1 species
UGCGUAGGCGGACUGCUAAGUCUGGGGUGAAAUCUUGCCGCUUAACGGUAAAAUGGCCUUGGAUACUGGCAGUCUUGAGUGUAGAAGAGGCAGGUGGAAUUCGUAGUGUAGCGGUGAAAUGCAUAGAUAUUACGAAGAACAUCAGUGGCGAAGGCGGCCUGCUGGUCUACAACUGACGCUGAGGCACGAAAGCGUGAGGAGCGAACA